GGGUCCGCACAAGCGGUGGAGCAUGUGGUUUAAUUCGAUGAUACGCGAGGAACCUUACCAGGGCUUAAAUGUAGUUUGACCGGUCUGGAAACAGACUUUCUCUUCGGAGCAGAUUACAAGGUGCUGCAUGGUUGUCGUCAGCUCGUGCCGUGAGGUGUUAGGUUAAGUCCUGCAACGAGCGCAACCCCUAUUCUUAGUUGCCAGCGGUUCGGCCGGGGACUCUAAGAAGACUGCCAGCGCAAGCUGAGAGGAAGGUGGGGAUGACGUCAAAUCAUCACGGCCCUUACGUCCUGGGCUACACACGUGCUACAAUGGUAGAGACAGAGGGCAGCCACCUGGUGACAGGGAGCGAAUCUUCAAAGCCGGUCUCAGUUCGGAUCGCAGUCUGCAACUCGACUGCGUG
rnacentral:rRNA from 1 species